ensembl:lncRNA
GUGGACAUUAAAAGCAGAAAUGAAAACCAAAUAGCUCUACUCGGAUCCAUUUUAUUUAUUAAGAUAAGGUCCAAAUCUGUAAUAAUUUCUGAAGGAAAGAGACUGUAGUCAUGAAAUAUAAAAUACAAGUCAAUUGUACCAGCAACAGAAAACACAUUCCAUACCACAUGGUGAUCACGAUGUGACUUCAGCAUAUAGGGCAGGUUCCCAGACCUGGUUCUAGUUCUCAUGGCUGGUAACUCUUACUAGUAACGUUUUACAAAAACUACGUAUGUACAAUAAAUGCGUAUAUGUCCAUAUGGAUGACACAGCUGUCAAUACAUUAGUCAAUACUUAUCAUCUUCACCAGCUGUUGUUUACUGUGGAAGUUACACUCUUUGUCAAGUUGUGAAUUAUUCAUUCCUCUACAUUACAGCAUGUUAUACAUUUAGAGUCACAUUGUUUUAUUCUUCUGGAAAUGUGAAUUUCAGCUUCAACAACAUGAAGACGAAACACAAGUUACCAAAAUUUGAUUACCAACGAUUCAUGAUCGUUAAAAUGCUUUGAGGGGUUGAACGUAGCUGCAGCACUGCUGCCCGCUACUUACAUGCCACAAUCAACUCAGACAUUUUGAAAUACUUUUAUUUUGAAAACCCCUUUGCGUUGUGGAGCGUGGGUAUAAGACGCAGCUUACUUUGCUGUGCUGGUCCGUUUGAAGCAGACACAGAGCGCAGCAGAUCUCAGAAGACCAUGUCGGAGUUUCUGUUGUUUGGAUGUCGUUUGCCUUUGGACCAUCAACACAUCUGCAACAGGAAUCGAAGAGAAAACAUGCAAGUUUGUGAAACUAGAGCAGCUUCCGUCUCACUUUGGAUGGGCUCCAAUCAGUCAUAACACCAUCCUGUCAGUUUUCUGACAGG